GUAGCCAGCCUUGGGCAGCGGAAAAGGCGCCGCUUACAGUGGCCUUAACUCGCCUAAAAUAAAAUGAAAAUGAACAAAUGAGAUGUUACAUUUCCAUCUUUAACUUUCUCUCCUCACUCUGAAACACUCGCUCAAAACCUCUCUGUCAAAAAGCUAUUCUCCUCACACGACAAAUACAAAGAACACUCACCAAAUCCUGAACCCUAAUCACCGAUGUUAAACUUCCGAUAUCAAACGAAAUAAAGACAAUCAUCUUGCCACAGAAUAAAUGAAGCAAAGAAAAGAGGAACCAUACACAUGUUUAUGAAUCUGAAAGUGAGACGACGAAAAGGAGAGAAAUGUACCGGAUUGGUAAGUUUUGGGAGGAAGUCAAUAGGAUGAGUGCUUCUCGAACCCUCUCCUGUUCUUCGCAGUCACAGCUCCCUUGGUUAUCGCGACGUUUGUGGUGUUUGCGAGGAAACGGUUUUGAUGGAGCUCAAAGCGUGUUCAGAAAUUCACAAUGAUUCAUAGCGGCUUCGUAACAGAAACUUGGUAUGAGUCUCCUCCGUCGACUCAACUCCGAAGCGUGCUCGUUCGCCUGCUUGGCCCUUGUCUCAGCUUCGUCCAAAUGUCGGCGAGAUGAAGCUCUAGGUUUCUCUCCACAGCGAGCCGCCUCCAGGACCUCUCUCUUUCCUCUGCUGCGUUUUCUGCUGUGUAGUGGAGCCUUCGUACGGAGGAUGCUUGGAGAUUUUGUCUUCAUCCUAGCUUGGUGGUCCUCUGCUUCUUCCCAUCCAAAUCCAUUUACUGUUGGGCUUUGGUGCGAUUCGUUCGGAGGCAAAAUGUUGUGGCAUUGACUCUGUGUAUUGCGUUGCUCUUGAUGACGGUUUAGGUUAUGUUGCAGUGAAAACAAUAAGGGGGAGUAGCAGAAAGUUAGACCAGGAGCUUGUGGAUUCAUUUCUUGCAGAAGUUGAAAUACUAAGAAAAAUUCGGCAUAACAACAUUAUGAAGUUGAUGUGUUGUAUCUCAAGUGAUGAUUUGCUACUACUUGCAUAUGAGUAUCAUGAACAUCAGAGUCUUGAUAGGUGGCUGCACAAAAAGAAUAAGACAUCGGUUGCGUCCAGUACGGUUCAUCAUGACAUCAUUGAUUGGCCGAAGAGAUUGCAUAUAGCCAUUGGAGCUGCACAAGGUUUAUGCUACCUGUAUAACGAUUGCUCGCCACCUAUUAUUCACCGAGACGUGAAAGCAAGUAACAUUCUUUUGGAUUCACAAUUCAACGCAAAAGUUGCUGAUUUUGGUCUCGCCAAGAUACUGAUCAAGCCAGAAGAACUUGCCACCAUGUCAGCCGUGGCUGGCACAUUUGGAUAUAUUGCUCCAGAAUAUGCUCAAUCAAUUAGAGUCAAUGAGAAGAUGGAUGUUUACAGCUUUGGAGCGGUUCUAUUGGAACUGACAACUGGAAAAGAAGUUAAUCCUGGAUACGAAUACUCGUCGCUUGCAGAAUAGGUGCGGCGCCAUAUUCAGAUAGGAACUGAUAUAGAAGAGCUUCUGGACAAAGAUGCAGUGAAACCAAGUAACACAACAUCUUCAAAUUCGGGAUUAUGUGCACUUCAACACUUCCAGCUAGUAGACCAUCAAUGAAGGAAGUCUUGAAGAUUUUGAUCGGUUGCAGAGAUCCGCAAGCCAAUGCGGAGAAGAUUGUUGGUAUCUAUGAUGAUGCUCCACUUCUUAAGAAUUCGAAAUGGGAAAAGCAGGUGGAAUAUUCAGAAUAACAGUUAAGAAGUUUGCAUUAAGUUCCUCUAGAGUUAGGAAGUGUACUUUAGAAUAUAAGUAACCUUUGAUAAUGUGAUAAAAUACAUGCACAUUGGUAACAAACCAGGAAAUUGAGCUUUUGACUGACAGUUAUAGCUCCAUGUUUCCUCUUUUAAAGUGCACCAUUCACUUUAAACUUCAAAGAAGAUAAAUCCAAAGCUUUGAAAACGUUACCUAUCUGAUAAUAAACCUCUUUGACAUGUUUUGAAUAUGAAUCACUUGAAAAACAUUCUAUGUUGGAAAUGAUACAGGUUUGGUUUCACGGUGCACCGACUAAUGAACAGACUGUUUUACAAGUUCUGUUGCCUUAUGCUAGCAUUAGCCUUGACUCGGUUUGUUUCCAUGGCUCGAAACACUUAUGGUUGGACCAAGUUUCAAUGGCUUCGAUCACGCACACAUGGAAAGAGUUAGCAUGGAGGCUCUCACUUGCAAUUGCUGGAGAAUUAAACAACUGCUUUUGAAACAGGGACCAAUGACGGAUGUACGUCGGUGUUUGAAUGGGUCUCAUCCUUUUUUUUUGUUAUUCUUCUGUAAAAAAAUGAUCAAUAGUAUUUGGAACUCUAAACUCAGCAUCUUUUCAUCUUCAACAGUCUGAAUCUUGUCUCUUUCAAACACAA